GACGAACGCUGGCGGCGUGCCUAAUACAUGCAAGUCGAGCGCACAGACGAGGAUCUUGCUCCGCUGACGUUAGCGGCGGACGGGUGAGAAACACGUGGAUAACCUACCUAUAAGACUGGGGUAACUACGGGAAAUCGGAGCUGAUACCGGAUAAUAUAUUGAACCGCAUUGUUCAAUAGUGAAAGACGGUUUUGGUGUCACUAAUAGCUGGAUACGCGCCCCAUUCGCUAGUUGGUAAGGUAACGGAUUACCAAGGCAACGAUGCGUAGCCGACCUAAGAGGGAGAUCGGCUACACGGGAACUGAGACACGGUCCAGACACCUAGGGGAGGCCGCAGUAGGGAAUCCUCCGCGAUGGGGGAGAGCGGGACGUAGCAACGCGGCGGCAGUGAUGAAGGUCUCCUGAUCGGAAAGCUCUGUUAUUAGUGAAGAACAAAUGUGUAAGUAACUAUGCACGUCUUGACGGUACCUAAUCAGAAAGCCACGGCUAACUACGUG
rnacentral:rRNA from 1 species